GAUGAACGCUGGCGGCGUGCCUAAUACAUGCAAGUCGAGCGAACGGACGAGAAGCUUGCUUCUCUGAUGUUAGCGGCGGACGGGUGAGUAACACGUGGAUAACCUACCUAUAAGACUGGGAUAACUUCGGGAAACCGGAGCUAAUACCGGAUAAUAUUUUGAACCGCAUGGUUCAAAAGUGAAAGACGGUCUUGCUGUCACUUAUAGAUGGAUCCGCGCUGCAUUAGCUAGUUGGUAAGGUAACGGCUUACCAAGGCAACGAUGCAUAGCCGACCUGAGAGGGUGAUCGGCCACACUGGAACUGAGACACGGUCCAGACUCCUACGGGAGGCAGCAGUAGGGAAUCUUCCGCAAUGGGCGAAAGCCUGACGGAGCAACGCCGCGUGAGUGAUGAAGGUCUUCGGAUCGUAAAACUCUGUUAUUAGGGAAGAACAUAUGUGUGAGUAAAUGUGCACAUCAUGACGGUACCUAAUCAGAAAGCCACGGCUAACUUCGUG
rnacentral:rRNA from 1 species